ensembl:miRNA MIR146B microRNA 146b
AAAAGAAGUCUGGCCACCUGGCUCUGAGAACUGAAUUCCAUAGGCUGUGAACUCUAGCAGAUGCCCUAGGAACUCAGUUCUGGUGCCCGGCUGUGCUGCGCC